rnacentral:rRNA from 1 species
GAUGAACGCUGGCGGCGUGCCUAAUACAUGCAAGUCGAGCGAAUGGAUUAAGAGCUUGCUCUAUGAAGUUAGCGGCGGACGGGUGAGUAACACGUGGGUAACCUGCCCAUAAGACUGGGAUAACUCCGGGAAACCGGGGCUAAUACCGGAUAACAUUUUGAACCGCAUGGUUCGAAAUUGAAAGGCGGCUUCGGCUGUCACUUAUGGAUGGACCCGCGUCGCAUUAGCUAGUUGGUGAGGUAACGGCUCACCAAGGCAACGAUGCGUAGCCGACCUGAGAGGGUGAUCGGCCACACUGUGACUGAGACACGGCCCAGACGCCUACGGGAGGCAGCAGUAGGGAAGCUUCCGAAAGGGACGAAAGUCUGACGGAGCAACGCCGCGUGAGUGAUGAAGGCUUUCGGGUCGUAAAACUCUGUUGUUAGGGAAGAACAAGUGCUAGUUGAAUAAGCUGGCACCUUGACGGUACCUAACCAGAAAGCCACGGCUAACUACGUGCCAGCCGCCGCCGUAA